CCUACGGGUGGCAGCAGUGGGGAAUAUUGGACAAUGGAGGCAACUCUGACCCAGCAACGCCGCGUGAACGAUGAAGGUCUUCGGAUUGUAAAGUUCUUUCAGUGGGGACGAAGAAAGUGACGGUACCCACAGAAUAAGCCUCGGCUAACUACGUGCCAGCAGCCGCGGUAAUACGUAGGAGGCAAGCGUUAUCCGGAAUGACUGGGGGUAAAGGGUGCGUAGGUGGCUUGGUAAGCGGUUAGCGUAAGCCCUAGGCUCAACCUGGGUGCUUCUAAACAAACUGCUGAGCUUGAGUGCAGGAGAGGAGAGUGGAAUUCCGAGUGUAGCGGUGGAAUGCGUAGAUAUUAGGAAGAACACCAGCGGCGAAGGCGAUUCUCUGGACUGUAACUGACGCUGAGGCACGAAAGCGUGGGGAGCAAACAGGAUUAGAUACCCGUGUAGUC
rnacentral:rRNA from 1 species